CGUUUGCCUGUUCAGUCAAUGAUCAGGGUUGUUGUGGCAUCGCUGGAUAAGGAGAUAGGUGCUUUGUUGACUUGGAAAUAACUCAGUUCACUCGCAGCAGUCAAAUUCAACAGGGCAGUUGUGAUGAGAAGUGAACACCAAGACAUGCCCAAACAUUUCAGAAAUGUUUAAACCCUUUGGAAAACAGUGGCUGCAUUCAAUAUCAUGUAUUUAAUCCCGAAACAAUAG